rnacentral:lncRNA from 1 species
AGGUUCCUAUGGACUUAUAUUCCAUUCUUCAAAUAAAUGCCAGAAAGUAUUGUUUUACAGAAUUCUAUAAAUCUGAAGACUAAGCUUUAAAAAAAAUCAUCAGAGGAAAGGAAUUUGUAGAAAUAAAACUGGAAACAUCCAGAAUCUUGAUGGUGUGCCAAACCAGAUGUCAACUGGAGCUCAACCAAAACCUAAAAUUCCUUAAUGACUUCUCUCCCGACAUGCUAUAUUUGUUAAAGAAACAAAUAUAUACUGGGCUCCAGAAAUACAUGCGUGGGUUGUUUUUUUU